UACAGAGGGUGCGAGCGUUAAUCGGAGUUACUGGGUGUAAAGGGCGCGUAGGCGGUGAUAUGUGUGUGAUGUGAAAGCCCCGGGCUUAACCUGGGAAGUGCAUCGCAAACUAUAUUACUGGAGUAUAUGAGAGGGUGGCGGAAUUUACGGUGUAGCGGUGAAAUGCGUAGAGAUCGGAAGGAACGUCGAUAGCGAAGGCAGCCACCUGGCAUAAUACUGACGCUGAGGCGCGAAAGCGUGGGGAGCGAACAGG
rnacentral:rRNA from 1 species